AAAGCUCGUAGUUGAACCUCGGGAUCAAUGGGUCGGUCAUGCCAAUGGUAUGUACUGGCCUCAUUGGUUCUCACCUUCUAAGGAACCAUGAUGUCAUUCAUUUGAUGUUGUGGGGAAUUAGGACUGUUACCUUGAAAAAAUUAGAGUGUUUAAAGCAGGCUAACGCUUGAAUACAUUAGCAUGGAAUAAUGAAAUAGGACAUCGCAUUCUAUUUUGUUGGUUUCUAGGAUCGAUGUAAUGAUUAAUAGGGAUAGUUGGGGGCAUUAGUAUUCAAUUGUCAGAGGUGAAAUUCUUGGAUUUAUUGAAGACUAACUACUGCGAAAGCAUUUGCCAAGGAUGUUUUCAUUAAUCAAGAACGAAAGUUAGGGGAUCGAAGACGAUCAGAUACCGUCGUAGUCUUAACCAUAAACUAUGCCGACUAGGGAUCGGAUGAUGUUGAUUUUUUAAUGACUCAUUCGGCA
rnacentral:rRNA from 1 species